GCUGGGUGUGGUGGCUCAUGCCUGUAAUCCCAGCACUUUGGGAGGCAGAGGCAGGUGGAUCACCUGAGGUCAGGAGUUCAAGACCAGCCUGGCCAACAUGGUGAAACCCUGUCUCUA
rnacentral:SRP_RNA from 1 species